rnacentral:rRNA from 1 species
UGGCGAACGGGUGAGUAACACGUGGGUGAUCUGCCCUGCACUCUGGGAUAAGCCUGGGAAACUGGGUCUAAUACCGGAUAGGACCAUGCUUUAGUGUGUGUGGUGGAAAGUUUUUUCGGUGUAGGAUGAGCCCGCGGCCUAUCAGCUUGUUGGUGGGGUAAUGGCCUACCAAGGCGGCGACGGGUAGCCGGACUGAGAGGUUGGUCGGCCACAUUGGGACUGAGAUACGGCCCAU